rnacentral:lncRNA from 1 species
CAGCUCCAAUAUGGGGCCACAGCCUUCCACACCUGGGCCUUCGGGAGAUGCUCAGAACCCAGCCUACAGCACACCCUCCCCACGGUCAUUUCAGAGUUCGAGGUGCACUAUCUGGAGCUUGGGAAGGACAGGAAGAUGACAAUGAGCUGAGCUGUGGCCAACGCUCAGUCCAGGGAGCACCCUCUGCUCCUCUGUUUGAGCUGAUGAAGCCCCCCAACGUUGACUUGGCUGCUAAGACUGAUUUCCCCAGACCCAUGAAGAAAGGCCCCAGCCCUGAGUGGCUCCCUGCUUUGGAAAAUAACGUCAGUGACAACCCUGUGCAGGCACAGUCCAGGGAAGAGAGGCUCUGGGGUUGGCAUGCCCCUGCCCUCCCUGGGCCUUUCUGCAAGUGAGGAGUGGACCAUGGCGGUGGGUGGGCAGAAGGACGUCUGUAUACCCUUCCUGGAAGCCCCGCCUAGCCCUCAAGAGGUUCUUGAUCCAAGGAGGAGGACAUGGUGAGAGACAGCAUGUAAACCAAAGAAGCAUCAUCUUUCCUCAGGCUCAAGAAAAAAUAGAAUCACUAGGCAUGGUGGCACACACCUGUGAUCCCAGCACUCAGGAAGCAGAGGCAGGAGGAUCGCCAGGAGUUCAAGCCCAGCCUGAAUUACAGAGCAAGACCCUGUCUCAAAAGGGG